rnacentral:rRNA from 1 species
AGGACGAACGCUGGCGGCGUGCCUAACACAUGCAAGUCGAGCGAGGAGAUCCUUCGGGAUGAUCCUAGCGGCGGACGGGUGAGUAACACGUGGGCAACCUGCCUCAUAGAGAGGAAUAGCCUUCCGAAAGGGAGAUUAAUACCUCAUAACAUUGCAGUUUCGCAUGGAACAGCAAUUAAAGGAGUAAUCCGCUAUGAGAUGGGCCCGCGGCGCAUUAGCUAGUUGGUGAGGUAACGGCUCACCAAGGCGACGAUGCGUAGCCGACCUGAGAGGGUGAUCGGCCACAUUGGGACUGAGACACGGCCCAGACUCCUACGGGAGGCAGCAGUGGGGAAUAUUGCACAAUGGGGGAAACCCUGAUGCCAGCAACGCCGCGUGAGUGAUGACGGCCUUCGGGUUGUAAAGCUCUGUCUUCAGGGACGAUAAUGACGGUACCUGAGGAGGAAGCCACGGCUAACUACGUGCCAGCCGCGGC